rfam:Ananas comosus cultivar MD2 ACMD2_Scaffold_319, whole genome shotgun sequence.
GAGCUGUGACGAGAUACGUGCACACGUGAAUCGAGGGGUUCGUUCACAACCGUCUGAUUAGCCAGAUGAAACUAGCACAUCUGAGCUC